UGGGGAAUAUUGCACAAUGGGGGGAAACCCUGAGUGCAGCGACACCGCGUGAAGGAAGAAGUAUCUCGGUAUGUAAACUUCUAUCAGCAGGGAAGACAAUGACGGUACCUGACUAAGAAGCCCCGGCUAACUACGUGCC
rnacentral:rRNA from 1 species